rnacentral:lncRNA from 1 species
AGUUUUCUAUUUUUGACUCUUUUUUUUCAUGGUUUUCUGCAUAUUAGUUGUAACAUUUUUAAUUAUUUGUUCAUUGAGAUUAACGGUGAGAAAUGGUGUCUGAGUUGAUUUUUCUUUUUUUUUUUUUGUGAACAAGAGAAAUACGAGACCAGAUAUACGAUGAAAAGGCUAAUACGGUGACCAUCACGGUGGUAUGCUGUAGCCCGGAGAAGAUCAGGGACAAGUUAUGUUACAAAGGUGGUGGAUCCAUCAAGAGCAUUGAGCUCAAGUCGCCGGCGAAACCCAAGGAAUCGGAGAAGAAACCCGACAAACCUAAAGAAGCCGAGAAGCCGAAAGAAGCUGAGAAGAAGCCGGAAAAACCCAAAGAAGCUGAGAAGAAGCCGGAAAAACCCAAAGAUCCUGAGAAGAAGCCGGAAAAACCCAAAGAUCCUGCUCCUGAGAAGAAGCCGGAAAAACCCAAAGAACCUGCUCCUGGGAAGAGACCGCCAAAGCCCAAAGACGGUGGUGAGACGAAACCGGAUAUACCUAGAGAGGUGGCGUCGCAGCAGAAUGUUGCGGCACCUUCUCCUUUACCGCCGAUGACGUAUGCAGUUGGGUAUACUUGCUCCGAGGGUUAUUAUAAUGGUUAUGGUGGAGGACCUAGCUAUUAUGGUGGACCACCCCAACAACCGUUCCCAUAUUACGAGACUUACGGUAGGCCUGUUUAUGACAGCUGGGGUGGCGGCGGCGGUGGCUACUACAGGUACGGCGGCCGUACCGGUGAAUGUUUUAGUGAAGAAAACCCUCAAGGUUGCUCGAUCAUGUAAAAAAACCGCGGGAAUUCGUUAUACUAUAAUGGUAAUAAUAAAUUCUCUUGUCUACUGGUGUAUGAAUCUGGGGGAGUCAUUUUGUGGAUUUUUAUUUAUUUCUAGUUUUAUUGAGUUUAUAAAAGUCGGUAAAGAUCAUUAACAAGGUUGGUGGCGUUGGUGGUGGCGGCGACAACGGCGGCGGUAGUGGUGGUGUGCUCCAGGCUUGCAAAAAGUUUGUUUACCAUAGUUUUAAAUUUUAAUAAAUAAAAAUGAUGUAUCUUUUUAUCUGUCAGAGUCUUUUGUUUUUAAUUAUAUGAAGGAAUUCAUUUGACAACAAAAUAAUCAUGGAAGGAACCUUCUCAAAUGUAAACUUAGAUUAUAAUAAUGUAGUAUGCUUAUUAAUUUUACAAUCACCAAGUCUAAAUGAAGUAUUUUUUAUUAUUUUAAUUUUCUAUUUUUGUCUUUUAAUGAGAAUUAAUAAUUUAAUUCUAUUGUUAAUUAUUGUCAUUAUAGGAAAAUGUAGAUUGGAGUGCCUAGAGUUUUAUUUAAGGGUUAAAAGAGGGAUUAUGAACCAAGAUCACCUUUGUUUUUACCCUUGUAAAGUUCAUGACUGCCUUCUUAACGAUUUCACCUCUAAAAUUUGAAAUGCAAAGAGUGUUAUAUUACACCUAACACUUAUCGAUAUUUUAAGUUAGCAUUUUAAUUUAUCAAGUAUUACUCAAUUAGAACUAACUUCAUUUUUCAAAAAUACAAGAGAGCAAGUUUUGAUAAUUAAAACACGACAAUGAACUUUUGAAUUUUUGUAAAGUAGAGGGAAAAUUUCGUAAUUAUACCUUAUCUUUAAGAAGCUUUGCAAAAUGUAUGAUAAUAAUAUAUAUAGAGACAUAGUGGUUCAAAAACAAAAAGCCAAAUCAAUUGGAUAAUAAUGGUACCAAAGCAUCCACGAGACAAUGUCACUAACGGUGGGCGCCUCCCUAUGGUUAUCCGGUCCCCAAACAGGCGGGCGAUGGCGUCAAAAUUACCAAUCUAGCGCUUAUCCUUAUAUAGAGUAGGCAACCUAGCUUAACCUAGACACUCUUAGUUUCCUCCCAUGGUUUCAAAUCUUAAUACACUCCAAACUUUAAUUAUUGAGAUAGAAAUCGAGUUUGAUUUGAAUUUUGAUUAAGUUGAUUUAAUUUUUUUUAAUUGAAUAAUAAUAAAUUUUGAUUUUUAUAUAUAUUGUUAUAAUGCAAUUGAGAAUUGUUUAGUACGAUAAUUUACACUAUAAGAAUGCGAAGAGCUACUGAAAUGGUUGCGAUUUAUAUUGUGAAAGUGUGAAAAGUCAUUGUUCUUGGUGAUUGGAGGAUGUCGAGUUAGUAUAUGUAAAGGAGAGAAUUUUGCUUAAUUUAAGAAUAUUUUUCAAAAGUGCUUUUAAGGAAAAAAAAAUACUUAUGAGAAGAAGUUAAAAUUUACAAUUUAAAAAAAAAAAAGAUUUUUUGGGUCAAUUUUUUAUUUGGAAUAAGCAUUUUUUUUUCUCAAAAAAUUAAGAAUACUUUUGUCCCAAAUUUUUUUUUUAAAAGCAAUACAAAAAUGACCUUAAAUUGGCACAGUAUAUUUAAUCAAUUUUGGUUUGAGCAGGUUCAGCAAUUUUUUUUUAUUAUAUGUUUGAUUUUGUUGGUGUAAAAUAAAUCUUAAUUAUUUGUGUUUCGGUUCUUUUAAAAUGAUAUAAAAGUUUUAUUAUUUAAAAAUAUUUAAUUUAGUGAAAUUUAAUUGAGUAUUGAUAUAAAUAAAUGAUAUUAAAAUAUAUACCAAAUAUUUACAAAUCAAACUGAAAGUUUUGAAAAUAUUUUAUUUCAUAUUUAGAAUUUAAUAAAAUAUUCACCACUGAAGUACCCAAGUUUAAUAUUUAUUUAAAGGGAGUAAUUAAUAUUGAAUUUAUUUAAAUGGAAAAUUGGUGAUAUACUUCAAGACUGGUUUCUAAAUAUAUAUUAUAAAUUUUGAUUUUGAUUCCAUGAUUUUGAUGAAAAAUAUGCAUUAAGUUUGAUAUAUUAAUAUUAAUGGCAAAAAAAUCAUAUUUAAAACAUAAUUUAGAAAACGAGAUUUACUUAGGAAAAUACUUAAAAUUUUUAUAUAUGCUUUGAUGACGGAUUUUUAGUAAAACUUUCUAAAAUUUAAUAUUAUUUUAAAUAAGAAUUAAUUAUAAACAUUUUAAAUAAAUAAGCUUAAAUUCACUUUAAGGUAAGCUUUUAAUUUAUAUAUAUAAGGGAUGGUUUGGUAAUACUUUUGAAAAGUGAUUUUCAAAAGUAUUGUAAAAAAAUAUUUUCGGAAAGUUUAGUUUAAAAUUUGAGUGUUUAACAUUGCUAUCAAAAAAUAUUUUUGAGAAAUAAAAUGUCUAUUUUAGACAUGUUAUUAUUAAAGAAUAAAUAUGUAUUUAAAUAAUAUUUAAAUUAGUUAAUAUUAUUAUAUUUUAGUAAGAAUAUAAAAAAAUUAUUAUAAUUUGUUAAUUUUUUAAUAUAUGAAAUAUAAAUUUUAAAUAUUUUUAAAUAAUAAAUAUUAAUUAUUUAUAAAAUUUAAAGAGAAUAUAUAAACUAUAUUUUAAAUAUUUAAAUAUAAUCAUUAAAUAUUUAUAAUUAAUAUUUUAAAAAAUAUUUUUUAAUUAAUAAUUUUAAUAAAUUUGUACUAAAAGAAAAAUACUAUGUUAUUAUAGUGGUGAAAAAUUAGUAAGUAAAAGUCUUUUCGGAUAGUAAAAAGUUAAAAAUUUUAACUUUUACUUUUUAGAAAAGCCAAAUAUUAUUAAGCAUUUCAGAACAGUAGCUAAGCCUAAGUAUCAGCCUUUCGCUAUCUCAGUACUAUUUUCUAACACUUUUGCAUUUGCUUCUUUCUUUUUCACACCAGAUCUGGGGAUCCAAGCUAUGGCUGAAAAGGUUCCUAAAAUCUCAUCCUUUUUCUCUUCAACAUUUAAAUCCGAUGCCCAUUUCUUUUUCUUUUUUUAAUUUCUUUUAUUGUUUUUCAUGCUCCUCUGUUUCCAAUUCCUCUUUGUCUCUGUUAACCAGAUUCGUUAGCUAAUGCUAAUAAUUCAUGUAAAGUUUUUCUUUUGUAGGUGACGAUAAUGGUGCUGAAGGUCGACCUUCAGUGCAGGAAAUGUUACAAGAAGGUCAAGAAAGUGCUCUGUAAAUUCCCUCGUGAGUUUUCUAUUUUUGACUUUUUUUUUCAUGGAUUUCUGCAUAUUAUUUGUAACAUUUUUAAUUAUUUGUUCAUUGAGUUUAACGUUGAGAAAUGGUGUCUGAGUUUAUUUUUCUUUUUUCUUUUUUUGUGAACAAGAGAAAUACGAGACCAGAUAUACGAUGAAAAGACUAAUACGGUGACCAUCAAGGUGGUAUGCUGUAGCCCGGAGAAGAUCAGGGACAAGUUAUGUUACAAAGGUGGUGGAUCCAUCAAGAGCAUUGAGCUCAAGUCGCCGGCGAAGCCCAAGGAACCGGAGAAGAAACCCGACAAACCUAAAGAAGCCGAGAAGUCGAAAGAAGCUGGGAAGAAACCGCCAAAGCCCAAAGACGGUGGUGAGACGAAACCGGAUAUACCUAGAGAGGUGGCGUCGCAGCAGAAGGUUGCGGCACCUGCUCCUUUACCGCCGAUGACGUAUGCAGUUGGGUAUAAUUGCUCCGAGGGUUAUUAUAAUGGCUAUGGUGGAGGACCUACCUAUUAUGGUGGACCACCCCAACAACCGUUCCCAUGUUACGAGACUUACGGUAGGCCUGUUUAUGACAGCUGGGGCGGCGGCGGCGGAUACUACCGGUACGGCGGCCGUACCGGUGAUUGUGUUAGUGAAGAAAACCCACAAGGUUGCUCGAUC